rnacentral:rRNA from 1 species
GGGAAAUCCGACAGCUUAACUGUCGGGCGUCUAAGAGAUACUGGUAAUCUUGGAACCGGGAGAGGUGAGGGGGUACUUCGGGGGUAGGAGUGAAAUCCUGUAAUCCGUCGAAGGGGACCACCUGUGGCGAAGGCGCCUCACCAGAACGGCUUCGACAGUGAGGGACGAAAGCUGGGGGAGCAAACCGGAUUUAGAUACCCGGGUAGUCCCAGCCGUAAACGAUGUGCGUUAGGUGUAUCGGUGACCACGAGUCACCGAGGUGCCGAAGGGAAACCGUGAAACGUACCGCCUGGGAAGUACGGUCGCAAGGCUGAAACUUAAAGGAAUUGGCGGGGGAGCACCACAACAGGUGGAGCCUGCGGUUUUAAAUUGGACUCAACGCCGGAAAUCUCACCGGAUAAGACAGCAGAAUGAUUGCCGGGCUGAAGACUCUGCAUGACUAGCUGAGAGGAGGUGCAUGG